CUCCAAUUAUUAUGAAAAUUUUAUGGUGGCCUAUUUAAUAUGAUGCUUGAUUCAUGGUAAAAGUUUUAACACCAUUCCUGUAUAUCUCACUGACUUACUAAUUUACCUAAAUUUAUACUUGAGGAUGCUUCCACUACCUUUGCACGAUGUGUUGUUAUGUCAUAUGAACACUUCAUAAGCUCAUGUGUUUAUAAUCUACAUACAUUUAAUUGAUAUAUCAUAUUUCAUAGGAAUCCUAAUCUAAAUAAACAAAUAAAGCUAGUAACAAACUUCUCAUGUUUUAAUAUAAUACUAAGAUAUAUUAAGAGGUAAUAUUAGAGUAAAAUAAGGUUUGACUAGUUUCUAUUUUUAUUAUUAAAUAAAUAUGUCUCCGAGCUACAUAUUAUUGUAAAUAAUAACUAUCUAAUGCCAUAGAUGUUAUGGUUAUCAAUAAAAUAAAUUAUAGACUUUAAAUUUUAUAAAAAAGGAUAAAUAUAAAUAGAUAUGUAACAUUCAUUUGAUGUUUUUCUCCCGUUGUAACGCACGGGCAUAUUUGCUAGUUAAAAUAAUAAUUCACCUUGAUAUAUAAUCAUUUUAGUACUAUCUAUAAUAAAGACAUUUGUGAAUUGCAACUCAUUUUUUUUGUUUUUUUCUGUGAGGUGAGAAACUAAAGCUAAUCAAUAUGGCAGCAUUUUUCGGAAUUUGCUAGGGAGCAUUUUCAGUAAUAACACUUUAAGGAGGUUGUAAAUUUGUGUUUGUCCUAUAUAAAAACUCUUUAAAACAACUUUCUAAUUAGUUUUUUUUGGAAGAGAACCCUCUUCCAAUAGUUUUAUAAACCUAGAUAUGAGAAUAUAUCAAAUGAAAUACCUCACCCGACUCAUAGAUAUGUCUGUGUUUCGAGGUUGCUAUGUUGGGCGCCUCUGCUUCACCCUACGGUUUUCGAGUUUUAGAAAGCUAACUAUGUAAGAGAAAAAAAAACUAAACUAAAGCUUUUAUAGAAAAAGGAGUCAGGUUUACCAUGUGUCUUUAGUUAAGAAGCUUUUCCAGAUGCUUUAUACUUUCUUCGUCCUUGAAUAAAUUAUUUUCU
rnacentral:lncRNA from 1 species